rnacentral:rRNA from 1 species
UGCGUAGGGGGCUAGCGUUGUCCGGAUUUAUUGGGCGUAAAGAGCGUGUAGGCGGCCAGAUAGGUCUGCUGUGAAAACUCGAGGCUCAACCUCGAGAUGUCGGCGGAAACCAUUUGGCUAGAGUCCGGAAGAGGAAAGUGGAAUUCCUGGUGUAGCGGUGAAAUGCGCAGAUAUCAGGAAGAACACCAGUGGCGAAGGCGGCUCACUGGCCCGAUGACUGACGCUGAGGUGCGAAAGCGUGGGGAGCAAACAGG